UUAGCCCUGCGGUGUUCGCGAUUGAAAACAUUUUUCUUGGGUCAAACUGUUUGUACGGGAUUCCUUAUAUUGGGGUGAAAUGCACUACAGCAUAGUUCUGCAGUACAGGAAGUUCCAAUGCGGAAACCCACUUGGACCAUACGGUUCAAGAAAAACUUUUCCUAACGGCACCUGCGGGGCUAAU
rnacentral:other from 1 species